UGAGUACGAGAUGCUACGGCAUCGAAGCAGUCUAUGUCAUACUUCCAAGAAAAGCUUGCACUGUCAGAAACAGAUAAUGCCUGUACCAUAACCGACACAGGUGGGUAGGUAGAGUAUACUAAGGGGCGCGAGAUAACUCUCUCUAAGGAACUCGGCAAAAUGACUCCGUAACUUCGGGAGAAGGAGUGCCUUAUUUUUAAGGUUGCAAUAACAAGAUCCAAGCAACUGUUUACCAAAAACACAGGUCUCCGCUAAGUCGUAAGACGAUGUAUGGGGGCUGACGCCUGCCCAGUGCCAGAAGGUUAAAGAAGUCGGUUAGCAUUCGCGAAGCUGGUAACUGAAGCCCUGGUGAACGGCGGCCGUAACUAUAACGGUCCUAAGGUAGCGAAAUUCCUUGUCGGGUAAGUUCCGACCCGCACGAAAGGCGUAAUGAUUUGGAUACUGUCUCGGAGAGGGGCUCGGUGAAAUAGACUUGUCUGUGAAGAUGCGGACUACCUGCACCUGGACAGAAAGACCCUAUGAAGCUUACUGUAACUUGAAAUUGAAAUUGGACUUUAUUUGCGCAGUAUAGGUGGGAGGCGUUGAAAAUAUUCUUGCGGGAAUAUUGGAGCCAUCAGUGAGAUACCACUCUUGUAAUGUUAGAUUUCUAACUUUAUAUCAUUAUCUGGUUAAAGAACAGUUUCAGGCGGGCAGUUUGACUGGGGCGGUCGCCUCCCAAAUGGUAACGGAGGCGCACAAAGGUUUCCUCUGAACGGGUAGAAAUCGUAUCUAGAGUGUAAAGGCAUAAGGAAGCUUGACUGUGAGACCUACAAGUCGAGCAGGGACGAAAGUCGGUCUUAGUGAUCUGACGGUGCUGAGUGGAAAGGCCGUCACUCAACGGAUAAAAGUUACUCUAAGGAUAACAGGCUGAUCUCCCCCAAGAGUUCACAUCGACGGGGAGGUUUGGCACCUCGAUGUCGGCUCAUCGCAUCCUGGGGCGGUAGUACGUCCCAAGGGUUGGGCUGUUCGCCCAUGAAAGCGGUACGCGAGCUGGGUUCAGAACGUCGUGAGACAGUUCGGUCCAUAUCCGGUGUAGGCGUUAGAAUAUUGAGAGGAGCCUUCUUUAGUACGAGAGGACCGAGAAGGACAUACCUCUGGUGUACCAGUUAUCGUGCCAACGGUAAACGCUGGGUAGCUAUGUAUGGAGUGGAUAACCGCUGAAAGCAUCUAAGUGGGAAGCCCACCUCAAGAUAAGUAUUCUC
rnacentral:rRNA from 1 species